UAAUUGUGUAGAAAUUAUGUUGAGCCGUUUUUAUUGACUUGUGAAGUUUGAUUAUGUGUUUGGGCCUUGGUCAAGGUUGAUUUAACUUUUGUUGGAUUAAAAUCAUUGGAUUUAGGGGAUUAAUGAAAUGUACAUUUCAUCUCCCAAAAUGAAUGAAUGAUUUUAAUUUGAUAAAAUUCCUCCCAUGACCAGUUUGUGUUUGUCUCAUUUCCCC
rnacentral:lncRNA from 1 species